CUCGGACCCGGUGUAACUCCGGGUGGCUCUUCCGGCCGCCGAUCCGCCGGACAACG
rfam:Bosea sp. WAO WAO_contig_8, whole genome shotgun sequence.